UUUUUUUCAUCUUUCCACUUGUGUUUUCGAAUUCAUGAGUAUUCCUGUAUACUCCUUUCUCUUCCAAUAACUUGGAUCUCCUUUUUUCUUUCAAAAAAAAAAAAAAAAACGAUUACAUAAAUAUUCAAUUAAAAAUUGCUUCUUGUUCGUCAAGAAUGAUCUGAUAUUCAGCAAAAAAGGGCUCUAUGGAGGUUAAAGAGAGAUCUCAAACGUUCUGUCUGCUCAAAGAUGGAGGUACGCGCCGACACGCGCACUCCACUGCUGCAACCGCAACCACACUGUCGCAGCCGCAAGCACAACACCGCCGGCGACAAAUUGUCCCACCCCUUUCCUUCUCUCUCUCCUCUAGCUUGGUAAUCUAAGGUUUUUGCGAGCUUUUACUUCUAUACAAUACAAGAUUGGGGCUUUGUUGCUGUCUUGUGAAUUAUAUCUUGUUUUGUUGUUCUUUUGGCUUAUGUGGUCGCCAGUGUUGACAAAGUAUGUUCAUGAUUUCAUUUUCAACAUAAUAGGGAACUUUUUGGUUGGUUUUGUGAUUGAUUGAGUGUACAUAUGGUGUUACUUUGGGCCUUCCUUAGUUGCCAUAUGCCCAAUUAUGUCUUGAUGAUUUACCAACCAUAGGUGAUGGAUUACAGCAGUUACGGAUUUUGAUUUGUUUAAUCCAAUUCCGUUUGCUCAAAGGAUGUGAAUUCGAAGAAUUGUAUGUCAAUAGGAAGAAAGGAAGGGGUAGUUUUUCUCAUUGAGGUUGAGUUUUCAUUGUCCAUGUUUAAUUCGGGCUGGCUUCAUUCUACAAGUCUCUAAAUCCUACGUACCCUGAUUAUUAUGUGCCACCUUGCACCCUGUUUAUAGUUUCUGGAUCAAAUUCAGAACCCUUUGUAUCCUCUCUCUUGGCCCUGCAUCUAUUUUAUGUCAGCUAGGAAAGUAGUACAAUCAAGUGAUUUAGGAAAGAUCAAAACUAAUCUUGAAUGUACAUGGUAUGAGAGUGAGGGUAUGUUUUUAGAUUAAGAAAAAUACCUAAGAAUUUUAGGCUUACGGAUAGGGAAUUGUUUUUUAUUGUUUGAUUUAAAGAAUAUGAUUUAUUCUCUUACUUUUAAAUUGAAUUUUGGCACUACUUUUGAAAGAGGUUUUCAGUGCAUUACUCACUAAAAUUGCCAAAAUAUUAUUAGAGUGAUGUUCCAAUGUUUCUAGAAGGUUUAUGCUUCGUGUGAAGUGUGGUAGAUAAGGAUGUUAACUUAAUAUGUUGUUUGUCUAUCUAAUCUCUUUUAUGUAAUGUUAAGCAAAAUAAUUUUAUGAUUUAUUUGUGCAAAAUGAAUUUUAAUACUUGUAUGGUGUGGAAUUUAAUAUUAAGCUAUGGACUCUCCAUAUUGUUAUUGUUUGUUUUAAUGUAUCCUUAUAAUUCUUGAAGAGUUUUUUCAUGAUAAAGCUAAAUUUGUUGGUUUGUUCUUGCAACUUAGUGUAGUCUAAAAAUCAUGUAGUGGUGAGAUUAGAAUUUUGAUUUACUCUUUAAAUAAUAAGUUUGUAAUUCAACUUAAUUUUCAACUUACUUUUUUGCAACUACUAUUGGUUUGAAGCUGAAACUUCUAUGUCCAACUAUUGGUAUGAGGGAUGCUGUGGGGAGAAAAAGGAUAACUAGUUUGUAUCUUAUCUAUUUAUUUUAUGGAAUUGUUUGUCAGCUGCAUUGUAAUUUUGUUUGGACAAUUGGUUUCAAACAUGUUAACUCUUGUAAGCUAAAACCAUUUUUACUUCUAAGGCUAUUUUCUUAUUUAAGUAAUUUCCUUUAUUUUAUGUGAUGAUUAUAAUUUUAAGCUAAAACCAUGUUAACUCUUACUGAUCACAUUGCCACAAGUAGUUCCAGUGAUGCUAUACUAGGAAGUUCUUGUCCCUGCACAUGUUUUCUUAUUGUUUAUGCACUAAUAAUUUUGAGGAUAUGUUACUUUAAGAAGCAGAAAUCAUUUCCGGAUGGUGGCAGAUGAUAAUUGAUGUCAUUGACUUGCUUCAGGGACCCUAAGUAUCUGUUAAUCAUGGUAGUGGAAUUUGUAAUCAAAUUCUAUCUUACCGUGAGUUUUCUUUGAACAUGGGAAUUACUUUCUUUCACCAUGUGUAUUGAAGACAAUAAUUUUUUGAAUAUGAAUUUGCAUUUUUUAGUAGUUAUUUAUUUUGUUACUUGGCAGGUUUUAGGUUAGGACAGGUAGAUGUUGCUAGAAAACAUCUGUUCUAUGCAGGACAUCAGUUUGAGGCAACAAAACUCCACAAAUUACAAGUAGUGGAGAAGAAUUUAAAUAGAUGUUUUGAUGCUCGGAAAUUUGGAGACUAGAAAAGUGCAUUUGCAGGAAGGAGAUACUGCGAUUGCUGCUGGAGCUGACUAUUCUCCUCAGAGUUGAAUCCCUUUUAAAGCUCCGGCAACUAGAUGACAUAGAUAGCAUUCUUUCACACAUACCGAAAGUUGAACCAUCUCCGAACUGCUGCUCACAGAGUAAGUUUAUUGGGAUGCUUUCUGAUGCUUACCUCUUUUAUGUCCGAGCCCAGAUAGGUGAGUAGAGGAAGUCUUAAUUAUCGGGAGCGAGAAAAGUUUAGAAGCUUUGUAGGGAAAGUAAGAACAGAUGAUGGAUAUCUUGCAGGUUUGAGAAUGCAGUUACCUGUGCUGAGAAAGUUGGGAAGAUUGAUCCUAGAAGUUGCGAAACUACUAAAGAAUGUGAGGCUAGUGGCAAGAGCUCGUGCACGUCGAAAUGAUCGCUUCAAAUCCCAUACAAAAAAGUCAAAUUUGUGAAGCAGACAGAGACAAUCGUCAAAAUUUGAAGGUUGACCAUUGUAUCAAUUAACUAACUAGCUUUUUUAAGUUAUAAAGUAUUAUUUAUUGUGAAUUGUGAGAGAAAUAUUUGUUAUUUACAAGUACAUCAAUUCAAUAUAAUUUACAAGUUGUCGCUUAAA